rnacentral:rRNA from 1 species
UCACGAAAGUGAGUUGUACUAGAAGUCGCCGCGCGAACCGCAAGGACGCAAGCGCCCAAGGUAUGACCCAUGAUUGGGUG